UACGUAGGGCGCAAGCGUUAUCCGGAAUUAUUGGGCGUAAAGAGCUCGUAGGCGGUCCGUCACGUCCGCUGUGAAAACCCAGGGCUCAACCCUGGGCUUGCAGUGGAUACGGGCAGACUAGAGGUAGGUAGGGGAGAAUGGAAUUCCCGGUGUAGCGGUGAAAUGCGCAGAUAUCGGGAGGAACACCGGUGGCGAAGGCGGUUCUCUGGGCCUUACCUGACGCUGAGGAGCGAAAGCGUGGGGAGCGAACAGG
rnacentral:rRNA from 1 species